rnacentral:tRNA from 2 species
GCCGAAGUGGCGAAAUCGGCAGACGCACGGGACUUAAAAUCCCGAGGUGGAAACACCGUGCGGGUUCAAGUCCCGCCUUCGGCACCA